CGGUAGACGCAGCGGACUCAAAAUCCGCCGACCGCGAGGUCAUGAGAGUUCGAGUCUCUCUUCCGGCA
rnacentral:tRNA from 1 species